GGAAACUCAUUUAGCACAUAAUGAAGGUGCUGAGAAGAAAAUUAAUCAAAGCUCUGAAAGAAAGGGAGAGAAACUCUUUCAUCUCCUCCUCCACCAAAGAUCCAGUUUGUCUCUCACAAGGAACGCUUUCCAGACAAUCCUGGCUGCUGUUUUUAAAAGGAGAGCAUAGAAAGCAGGAGGAGAAAAGAGCCUGGUUCAACAUGGUGGCCUAUCCGAGAGCAGGGCUGCAAGGAGCUGCUGUAUAAGGGUGGUAGACCAGAGCCCAGCAGGGGAAUUUCUCAAUGCUGGUGACUGAAUUCAGCUUAGAAAAAGCUUAAGGAGGCACUUUGCCACGUUAUACCUGGCAUUCUUCAACUAAUAGCAGUCCUCCCCUGUAUCCUCCGAAGAGCAUUUUGAAAAUCCAGUAUUACUUCUAUACACCACCAAGACAGUGCCGGAAUAAAGGUCUCAAAACUUUCAUUAAACCCUUCAAAACUAAAUGGCUUCACCACGCCAUUAGGAACGUGCCAUGACCCAGGGCCACCUUGUCACCCCAUCCCAUUGCAUUACCGCUGCACUGUGAUGUGCUGCUGCGGAGCACCGCAGAGCAUCAGAGCAUUCGGCUGCAGCUCCUGCCAACAGAAGGCAGCGUGACUUUGCUGUCAGGACUGUGGGGUG
ensembl:lncRNA